rnacentral:sRNA from 1 species
GCAGAGAUAUGCCACCAUAGUUUUGUAUUUCAUCUGUACGCACUUUUUUGCACUGUUGGCCGCUUGAUGCCAAGAAUGUUUAAGAGAUUGACAUUGCACACAUUGAACUCUGCUAUGGCUGAGCUAAAUAAUCAUUGUGAGUUUUUAAUACUCUUUCUGGAUUUUUGUUCGUAUACCAAAACAAAUGUUGACUGCGUUUUCGGGCAGCGUUAUAGAGUAAUUGACCUGGUUUAUGAGCAACACAUCAAUUGCUAUUCGGUUAUUUCAGUACAUCCGAAAUCGGACAAACAUUAAUUAGCUAAGACGUAGGAGUAUAUCAAUUUUAUCGUUAGACCGUCAGACCGGUCAGCAUCAAAUUAGACCGAUUGAAUUAACAUUCGUUUGUUGGUUUUUUUGUUGAUAUCAAAUUAACUGUAUAGAAUAUAUAAUUAUUAUUCUUUUACUCGUCUUUACAAGUAAGGAAAUAUGGGUGGUAAACAAACUAACAUCUGAUAUUCCUUCAGUAUUUCUACUAGUAGAUAUUUUGAUUAUCAUUAAGCAAAUUAUUUUGAUUUUUGAAUUUCAAUAUAUAUUUAGCUCUUCUUCUUAGGAGAUUAAUGUAGUUCAAAACGGCCACGACCAUUCCGCCCCCUUAAAUACCAUGUAGCAACCCAAUUUGAAAAAAAAUUCAAGAACAAAUCUCAGACCAAAUCUACGCACUUUUAUUUGUUAAAGUGUGUUACAUGUAUAAAUAUAAUAUUUUAGAGUUUAAAAUAUUUCCAUCCAACCAUCCACGUUUUUUAAAGUGCUCUUGAAUCGACGACAUCCACUUGCUUUGAUUUUUAAGUGCAUUCUAACACAAUUUGAUUUUGUUGUUCAUUGGAACAGAUCAUUGUGUUUUUAUUGUGAUAUCUUUGUAGCUCUUACUUUGAAAACUCGUACGUGUUUACGACAAUUUGAUAAGUUUUGUUUAAUGCUUGUUGUUUUUAAGUUUGUAAACUAACAUGGACUAAAGAAGUAAUAAACAUUUUUACAACU